rnacentral:rRNA from 1 species
CCUACGGGAGACAGCAGUGAGGAAUAUUGGUCAAUGGACGAGAGUCUGAACCAGCCAAGUAGCGUGAAGGAUGACUGCCCUAUGGGUUGUAAACUUCUUUUAUAAAGGAAUAAAACGAGGCACGUGUGCCUUUUUGCAUGUACUUUAUGAAUAAGGAUCGGCUAACUCCGUGCCAGCAGCCGCGGUAAUACGGAGGAUCCGAGCGUUAUCCGGAUUUAUUGGGUUUAAAGGGAGCGUAGAUGGGUUGUUAAGUCAGUUGUGAAAGUUUGCGGCUCAACCGUAAAAUUGCAAUUGAUACUGGCAGUCGUGAGUACAGUUGAGGUAAGCGGAAUUCGUGGUGUAGCGGUGAAAUGCUUAGAUAUCACGAAGAACCCCGAUUGCGAAGGCAGCUUACUAAACUGUGACUGACAUUGAUGCUCGAAAGUGUGGGUAUCAAACAGGAUUAGAUACCCCGGUAGUC